GGGUCAGUAGGUUGGUCGUGCCACCGGUACGUACUGGUCUCACUGAUUCCUCCUUCCUGAAGAACCGUAAUGCCAUUAAUUUGGUGUUGCGGGGAAACAGGACUGUUACUUUGAAAAAAUUAGAGUGUUUAAAGCAAGCUAACGCUUGAAUACAUUAGCAUGGAGUAAUGAAAUAGGACGAUCGAUCCUAUUUUGUUGGUUUCUAGGAUUGACGGA
rnacentral:rRNA from 1 species